CGUAGGAACAUUGAGAGGAUUUCUCCCUAGUACGAGAGGACCGGGAGGAACGCACCUCUGGUGUACCAGUUAUCGUGCCAACGGUAAACGCUGGGUAGCCAUGUGCGGAGUGGAUAACCGCUGAAAGCAUCUAAGUGGGAAGCCCACCUCAAGAUGAGUGUUCCCAUGGGGUAACCCAGUAAGGUCACGGGAAGAACACCCGUUGAUAGGCUCUACGUGGAAGUCCAGUAAUGGAUGCAGCGGAGGAGUACUAAUAGACCGA
rnacentral:ncRNA from 1 species